rnacentral:rRNA from 1 species
AUGGAGGACGUGGAAGGGCUGAUGAGAGGCUUGAAAUUGUCGGCGGCGGAGAGAAAGGGGCUCAAGAUUGGGGAAGCGGAGAAGGGGAAGGCUUGCGAGUGGGCACCGGAGGAUCCUCAAGCGAUUGGAAAACUGUUCUCGGAGAAGCCAGCGCAUGCUGGUGUGGUAGGUCAAACGUUGGGACGAAUCUGGUGCCCGAUCAAAGGGCUAGAUUGCAAGGAGUUGGAGACGAAUGUCUUUUUGUUCACGUUCCGACAGGCGUCUGGAUGGAGGAGAGCUUUGGAGGAGGGGCCAUGGUGGUUUGACAAGGAGCUCCUGGUAAUGGAGGAAUUUGACCCAGACAAAACGGUGGAUGAAUAUGAAUUCAAGCUCAUUCCUAUGUGGCUCCGUGUCUUUGGCCUUCCUCUUGGUCAAAUGAAUAGAGCCACGGGAGAG